rnacentral:lncRNA from 1 species
AUUCUUUUACUUUUAAACAUAUGAUGGUUCUUGAUUUUCUCAUUCAUCCAAAUGCAGCCUCACAAAUUAUGGGACCAACUCUCCAAAUUAAUUGUGGUAUUUGGUUGCAGAUCUUUUGCAACAUAAUGUAAUGUUCAAUUGUAUCCUAGUAUCCUCUUUCCUAAUAUUUUAUAGCUCUAUUAAAGGAGAUUGAUGCAUCAAGUGGA